rnacentral:tRNA from 1 species
GUUUUAAUAAUUUAAAUAAAAUAUUGGUCUUGUAAUCCAAAAAUAAGAAAAUCCUUUUAAAACU